UGCUCCUUGCAGGUUUUCACACACCGAUGCUCAAAAGAGGGAUGCAGGAAGAAGGAGAUGCUCCCGCUGGCUUGUUCACAAUGCCAUGGCAACUUCUGCAUUCAACACAGGCAUCCUCUGGACCACAACUGCCAAGCUGGGAGCAGCUCGGCCAGCAGUGGGAGGUCUUCAGCAUCCAGAGCUCCUGAGCAGAAGCCAUCGGGAAUCAGUUGGCUGGCCCAGCAACUCAGACGGACCGUGAAGUGACAGUGAGGCUCCUGUCUGGGCUGAACACCAGCUCCUUUCUCUGUUGGGUUUUAACCUUGGUGAUGUGGUCUCCAGCACUUUCCUGGUUCUCCUGUUACACUGAGUCUUUAUGAAAACGUCUCCCAUUGACUGUUGAAGUUAGGGCAGGAAGAUGGCUCAAAGCAUGAGGACCUAGUUUAUUCCAUGAAUCCAUGCUUUUAAAAAAGCCAGAUGUGGGGUUGGUGCACACUUGUAAUCCCAACACUUGGGACUCUGACCAGCAGCGUAGCCUAAUUGGAGAGUUCUUACCAGCAGAGAGAGAGGCCAGCAUACCUCCUUGAGAAACAAGGUGGACACUUCCUGGGGAGGGACAUCAGCAAUUAUUACCUCCAGCUUCACACACACAUAUGUGCACCCACAUGUGUACACACACACACACACACACACACACACAGACAGCACAAAUUAUUUAACAAAAUAAAUGAGGCUGUUCAGCACUUGGAGGUGUAUUAGGUUACCACAGCAAGCUGCUGAGCUCGGGAGCUACCAACCUGUGUAAACCUCAUAAGCCGUGGCUUUGGCUUGUGCUAAACCAUUCCAGGACUUGGUGUUCUGGGAAAUUCUGUCCUGUAACAGAAAAGACCUGCCGAUGGCUCUACA